rnacentral:sRNA from 1 species
CUCCCAGUGCAAGUGUGCCUCCGAGGUAGCAGGUGAGGUGCUGGCCUUCUGUCUCGAGAGAGGCGGACGAAGGUCUUUGAGCACGCGUCUGGCCAGAGACAAGAAUGUCGGCAUUAUCCGGAACCAACGGCCGGAAAAAAAGGUACUCCAUCGCGGUGUUCAUGGCGUGACUGUACAGCCUUGCAUACUGAAAUGCGGCAUCCGUUCCACCAAGCAAGGCAUACAUCUUUGGCAGAUAUUCAUACGCUGAGUCGGCCAUUGAUCCAAGAGUGAAAGUUGAGUCGCCUGCGAACUCGCUAGAAAGAGGGCUGCAGCCCACAGGCCAGAGGCCGGGAAGAUAUGUUUUGUUUUGCUGCUCAUCCAGGACAUUGGUGAUACGCUGGAUCGCGUCGAACCAGCGCAUGUCUCCAGUUAACUGGGAGAGUCGAGUGAGCUCCAUGCUCGACGAUGCGACUUCAGCGAUGAUGCCUCUCUCGGCAGGGUAUUGGCUAAUCCCCUUCAUCGCUUUAUACGGGCUCCAGCGCGUUACGGGCAUUCUAUUUUUCGUGUCAAAAGAAGCAUAUAUCAUAUCCCCGACCUCGACAGCUUUAUCGAGCAAUCGUCUAUCUUUGCAUUCUGUCAAAUCAUAGGCAGAGAGAAGUCCGCCGAGAUAUCGUAUAGUUGUUUCAAACAUAUUGAUGAUCCCGUCACUCGUACUAUCUGGACUAAAAUCGAUGGAAGCCGCCGCAGCAACGGCCUCCUCGAACUCGUCUUUCAAGCCCAUGAUCCAGAGCGUAUCCAGACUGUCAACGAGGGUCGCCCCCCAGCCGCCAAAAGUGUUUUUAGGUUUUCCAGAUUUGGGGGAGAGUUCAUCAUUGAGCCAUGCCAUCUUUUUGUAGGAGUCCCAGUCCCUCUGGAACACCUUUUUCACUUCAGCUUGGCGCUGGGCUUGCAAUGUAGCGCUCUCACCCGAGUGCACUUCAAAUGCAUGUUGGAUUGAGGGCAGUGGAGAUGGCGCUGCAGUUGGCAGCUCAAUAAAAGAAGUGACAGGAUGCUUGAUGCGGAGUUUUCUCCAUUUAAAUCGGUUGGUUUUAGGCAGCUUGUAUGUUGGAGACGGACCAUGGCAUGAUUGUGUCCAUGGCUCCUCGGCAAGUGGCUCGGUUAUUAUAUUUAAAAAGGUUGCUGGGGACUCUGGCAAGCUGAUGUAGUAGAGGUAACAUAACAAAAUGAAACAAGCAGCGAUAACCUUAUACCGCCAUCUCCUUUGGGAUACCAUUGUGAGAGGGUUGAAAUGAUCAAUUGCAUGAUUAUUCUAUCUUCGUGACCAGUUAACUCAAGAACUUCCCUGCAAUGAAAAGGCAUGUGGUACAAGCUAGGCCUGAUAAGACUAGUGUGUUUGGAAUUCGAUAUUGUCUGGAUAGGACUAAGCG